AGGCGAGUAGCUCCAAUGGUAGAGCGGCGGAUUCCAAAUCCGCAUGUUGUGGGUUCGAAUCCCUCCUCGCCUGCCA
rnacentral:tRNA from 1 species